UACGGAGGGGGCUAGCGUUGUUCGGAAUUACUGGGCGUAAAGCGCACGUAGGCGGCUUUGUAAGUUAGAGGUGAAAGCCCGGGGCUCAACUCCGGAAUUGCCUUUAAGACUGCAUCGCUAGAAUUGUGGAGAGGUAAGUGGAAUUCCGAGUGUAGAGGUGAAAUUCGUAGAUAUUCGGAAGAACACCAGUGGCGAAGGCGGCUUACUGGUCCGGUACUGACGCUGAGGUGCGAAAGCGUGGGGAGCAAACAGG
rnacentral:rRNA from 1 species